rnacentral:rRNA from 1 species
AUUGAACGCUGGCGGCAUGCUUUACACAUGCAAGUCGAACGGUAACAGGCCGCUAGGUGCUGACGAGUGGCGAACGGGUGAGUAAUGCAUCGGAACGUGCCCAGUCGUGGGGGAUAACUACUCGAAAGAGUAGCUAAUACCGCAUACGAUCUAUGGAUGACAGCGGGGGACCGUAAGGCCUCGCGCGAUUGGAGCGGCUGGUGUCUGAUUAGCUUGUUGGUGGGGUAAAGGCUCACCAAGCCAUCGAUCUGUAGAUGGCCUGAGAGGACGACGGGCCACAUUGGGACUGAGAUACGGCCCAGACUGCGACGGGAGGCAGCAGUGGGGAAUAUUGCACAAUGGGCGGAAGCCUGAUGCAGCAACGCGGCGUGCGGGAUGACGGCCUUCGGGUUGUAAACCGCGUUCAGAAGGGGCGAAGCUUGUGGUGACGGUACCUGCAGAAGAAGCACCGGCUAACUACGUG